AAGGAACGGUUUCAGAUUAAAGAAGGCUAAAGGAACAUAACAGUGAAUGCCAAAUGAUCCUGGACUGGACCCUGUAACAGAAAAUAAGAAAAUGACAUAUAUUCUUGCUAUUUUUGUUCUAAGGCCAUCACUGGGACUAAUGGAGAAAUUUAUAUAAGGUAUUUAGGUAACAGUACUGAAUCAGUGUUAAUUUCCUAAUUAUGAUUAUGCUGUGGUUGUUUAAAGGGGAUGUCUUUGUUUUUAGGAAAUACUAAAAUAUUUAGGGGUAGGUGUCAUCAUGUCUUCAAGUUUCAAAUGGUCCAAUAAAUAUGCACACAGUAUACCAAUGGAAUGGCAGCACAAAUGUGGUAAAAUGGUAACAACUGGGGAGUCUGGUUAAAGGGCAGAUGGAAAUUCUUUAUGCUGUUUUUGCAACUUUAAGUUUGAAAUUAUUUCAAGAUAAAGUUUAAAAACUGCAGCCUCCAGGUCUUGGGUGCUGUGGCCAGUCUAGCAUCAGAAGCCACCAUAGGGCUUUUCAGUGUCUGCCCUUUCCGUGGUCAUUAUAGAAGUCACGCCCACAGCACUGAGCUUUCUUGCAGAAUUUGUUUUGUCUCCUCUGGUACCAUCAGGAAACAGUGUAGAGGGUCGGGCGUGGUGGCUCACACCUCCCAGCACUUUGGGAGGCUGAGGUGGGCAGAUCACUUGAGGUCAGGAGUUCAAGACCAGCCUGGCCAACAAGGUGAAACCCCGUCUCUACUAAAAAUACAAAAAUUAGCUGGGUGCGGUGGCACGCACCUAUAAUCCCAGCUACUCUGGAGGUUGAGGCAGGAGAAUCCCUUGAAACCUGGGAGGCGGAGGUUGCGGCGCCGAGAUCAUGCCACCUCACUGCAGCCUGGGCAACAGAGUGAGACUCCGUCUCAAAAAAAAAAAAAAAAAAAGGAAAAAGAAAAAGAAAAGAAAACAGGGUGGAGGAACACUUAACAGUGUGGCUUUGCUGAACCUGAAGGUUCCUUCCAGCCCCCAACCACCCAUUGCCACUGCUAUUUUAGGGGACUGCAGUCCUUGUAGCUGUCCUCAGGCAUCUGGUCAACCAACUCUGACCCAUACAUUUACCUGGUUUAGACUAGCCCUACAGCUGCCCCUGAAAGAGGCUUCCCAGGCAGAAUAUAAGUUUUAAAAUAUAUUUAAACACAUUUGAGGGUGUUUAUGCCCAGAGAUCAGUGCACUUCACCAGGGUGCUUUGGUGGACCUCUUGGAGGGUGCAUUUUACCCAAAUCCUCAGCAUUUGCCAGUUAAAGAUGGGUCUCUCCACUACCUUGACAGAACUCAGGUUGUAUGUUUUGGCAGAAAUCACGAAUUUAUUAUGUCCUGCAUGAUGAAGAGGGUCCUUCCUCAGCCCCACUUUUAAAACCUAGUUUAGGGCAACCUUCUACGCUUCUGGCUGGAACCUCUCCUGUGGGGAGGGGAGCAGGCGGCAGGUCUUGGAAUCAGAGGAGGAUCUCUGAGGUGCUGCCUGUAAUCGCUUUGUGGGUAGGUCUGCUUAUAAGAAUUCGCAAAGAGGAGUUCCUCUGAAACUCCCUAGCCCCGGGAAACAGAAAGAAGAACAGUGCUGGGGCUUCUCUUCCUGUUCCUGUCUUUUCCUUCCAGUUCCCCCUUCCCAGAAUUUCCUGUCUCUCAACCUCCACUCUGUUUUCUCCGCCCCAGUGUUCCCCCACUCUCUUUCAUUUUUAUUGUCUUAAAUCCACUUCUCCCACUUAUUCCAGCUUUCUGGUUUUCUCCCCUAGAUGGCUAUAACAUAUUAGCAUCAAUUGAGUAAGCUAAGCUUCAUGUUUCUUGUUCUUCCUUUGAAAUGUAGAUGAGUGAGAAUCGUAACAUUUUAUUGGAGGAAGGAGCCAUAGAAAUGUUGUCACCCAACCCUGCUUUCUACAGAUUACCAAACAUCCUCAAAGAGAUUGAGUGAUUUGGCUGUUAUCAAAUAGCCAAACAGUUGAGUAUUUCAUCUCUUUGCUCUUCUCUUUAAAAAAAAAAAAAAAAAAAAUCAGGCAAGUGUGGUAACUCACGCCUGCAAAUUCCAGUACUUUGGGAGGCUGAGGUGGGAGGAUUGCUUGGGGCCAGGGGUUUGAGACCAGCCUGGGCAAUAAAGCUUAGACUCUAUCUCUACAAAAAAAUUAAAAAUGUAGCCGGGUGUGGUGGUAUACACCUAUCGUCCUAGCUACGGGAGGCUGAGGCAGAAGGAUCACUUGAGCCUAGGAGUUCGAGGUUACACUGAGCUGUGAUCACGCCACUGCACUCCAGCCUGGCUGACAGAGCGAGACCUUGUCUCAAAAACAACAACAAAAAGAUCCGUUUGCCAUUUUCUUCCAUGGUGGGGGGGAGACAGUCAUUUUAUAUUGUUCCCCUAGCCUCCCCUCAACAAACACAUAUGGUGGGUCUUGUUUGAAAAAGUAUCUCAAUCCCUGUUUUCCAUCUGCCUGGUGCCAUCUGGACAUUGAAUAAAUGCCCAAUGAUUAUGAUACUUGGACACCUGGAAGGUCUGGUCUUCACAGUGGUCUCUUGUUAGGACCGUGGUGAAUUUGGGUUAACUUUGUGUGGGGAUCUAGUUGCAGGCCACUGAUCAUUCAUUCUUCUGUUCAUUCACUCUGCAGGUGCUUGUUAAAUGCCUUUUAUAUGCGAGGUACUUUUUAGGUUCCUGGAUUACAGCAGCGAACAAAAUGGACACAGUCCCUAAGCUGGGAGUCUUAUAUUUUAGUAGGGAGAGCAGAGAAUAGGCAAAUAUGUAUCAGUGGCAAUGAAUGCUAUGAAGUAAAGCAGGAAAGUGAGGGGGUGGAAGUCGUGUUUUACAGAGGGUGGUCAAGGAAGGCAACUUUUGAAUGAAAACCAGAACGGAGAUGGUGGGGAGGGAGCCAUCCAGAGAGGCAGCAGAGGAAGGGCAAGUCGAGCACGAGGCCCCCUUGGUUGACAUGGAGUGAGGAGGAGAGUGUGAGAUAGGUGGAAGCGGAACUGGGCUCUGAGAGUAACUGCCCUCUUGACAUCUUUACCUCUUCAGUAAAGUCUUGGAGAAAUCCCAUCGUGCGUGCUGGGAACAUUAUAGUUUUAGAGAAUGUUCAUAUAGUCCAAGGGCUCAGAAUUAAUUGCCUUAACACUUUUACAUUUAUAAAAAGCAGGCAAUUGAAUGACAGUAAUGAUGUGUUCUCAACACUAGAGGAAUAGUAGAUUUGAAGUAGAUUAAAAAGCACGAGAAUCACUGAAGUGCUUGCAUCUUGGUUGAUGGUCAAAAUUAGUACAGUAUUGAUUGUGCGUUCACACAGCAACAUUUUAAUUUUUUUCAUUGCAGAAGGUAGGUCCUCAUAACUCUGCUCAGUUUGUAGGAGAAUCUGAAAAUAUGUAGGCUAAAAAUCUGUUGUUAAUUACACGGCUUUCCUCCAGCUGUGAGAAACUUGCUGGUGGGCAGGAUUUCUCAAAGUGCUGCACCCACAUAACACUGGGGAACUUGGUUAACAUGCACAGUCAGCAUCCUCACCUGGACCUACCACCAGGGGGGACAUUCUGGGGAUGAAGUGUGGGAAUCUGUAUGCUUUGCAGCCUCUUCCAGUGGUUGUUUUUUUGUUUUGUUUUUUUGUUUUCUCCUGAUGCUCCAGCUAAGGUCCCUCCUGGGGCGUCAGGCCUGGUUCUU
rnacentral:lncRNA from 1 species